CGCGCGAUGGCCUAGUGGCUAACGCGUCUGUUUGCAAUUUCGAGGUCUCAGGUUCAACCCCCGGCGGGGUGA